UACGUAGGGAGCAAGCGUUGUCCGGAAUCAUUGGGCGUAAAGCGCGCGUAGGUGGCCCCAUAAGUCCGCUGUGAAAGUCAAAGGCUCAACCUUUGAAAGCCGGUGGAUACUGUGGGACUAGAGUACGGAAGAGGCGAGUGGAACUCCUGGUGUAGCGGUGGAAUGCGCAGAUAUCAGGAGGAACACCAAUGGCGAAGGCAGCUCGCUGGGACGUGACUGACGCUGAGACGCGAAAGCGUGGGGAGCAAACAGG
rnacentral:rRNA from 1 species